rnacentral:rRNA from 1 species
UACGAAGGGGGCUAGCGUUGCUCGGAAUCACUGGGCGUAAAGCGCACGUAGGCGGAUCUUUAAGUCAGGGGUGAAAUCCCAAGGCUCAACCUUGGAACUGCCUUUGAUACUGGGGAUCUCGGGUCCGGAAGAGGUGAGUGGAACUGCGAGUGUAGAGGUGAAAUUCGUAGAUAUUCGCAAGAACACCAGUGGCGAAGGCGGCUCACUGGUCCGGUACUGACGCUGAGGUGCGAAAGCGUGGGGAGCAAACAGG